UGUUGAUGGUGGAGGAGCAGGCCCUCAGCCCUGGACUGUCCCAGGCAGGUGGGGCCUAGAGAGAAAACCACAUAAUACAAAAGACAGCUCUUCUUACACUUGUCUUGUCCUAUCCUUAGCUCUGCUUUUAGGGAGACUUCAACAUUUGAGAAAUACCCCUUCCAACAGAAUAAAACAUUUGAGUAAACAAAUAAACAAACAAACCAAAAAGUCAACUACCGUUUCAUCACACACUUACUGGUCUUUCUUAGAGAGGAAGUUAGGACUAAAAUCCACAUACCUUACACAAAUAACAGUCCAGGAAAUACACAAUGGUGUAAACUAGCAUGAUUCACAGUUUAAUAUUAAAAAAUUUAUAUAGCACACUCCAAAAGAUACAUGAUUAUUAGCUACACAGGUGAACCUGAGGAAAGGAAAGACUGUCAGCAGUGAUCCUGUGAAGGAUGCCGACGGGGCUCCUGCAGAUGCACUCACACAACAGCUUUCAGGAAAGCCUCAGGGCAAGAAGAAAUUUCUCAAUACUGCAAAUAUGCUGAACUUGUUAUUUAGAGUGAAUUUUUUCAGGUUAGCUAUAAACCUCCCAGGCCCUUCCAUUUAUUCUGAUAAAUGCACCUGGCUCCUGCUGGACUCCAGUAAACUCUGCUGGAUGGCAAACUGCAUGAUCUCAUAAUCUUCAUCUUGCAGGUGCAUGUUCCGGCCAUUGUCUUGAACAUGGUAAGAUUCCGGAAUUUCAAACACAGAUUGAUUGACCUCAAAGUUUGUGACCUGGGUAGCUGAAAGGCAACACAACAGGGGAUGCCCAAUAGUCAAAUCAAUGAACAAAAACAAUACAGAAGACUGUAAAAUCAGAAGUGAAGCUCUCUAUUCCUACACCCUUUUCUCUCACUUCCAAAUUCCACAGCUCUACUUCCAGUGAUAUCCCAAAGGUAAAUGAAAUAAUUAAUAAAAUGACUGAAUGUAAUAAAGUUUUUAAGAAUCACAAAACCCAAACUUUUCUUUUACCUGAAUCAGUCUGGGUCCCUUCCACAUUUUGAGAUACAGUUUCUUCAGCAGU